rnacentral:rRNA from 1 species
AUUGAACGCUGGCGGCAUGCUUUACACAUGCAAGUCGAACGGCAGCGCGGGCUUCGGCCUGGCGGCGAGUGGCGAACGGGUGAGUAAUACAUCGGAACGUGCCCAGUAGUGGGGGAUAGCUCGGCGAAAGCCGGAUUAAUACCGCAUACGACCUGAGGGUGAAAGCGGGGGAUCUUCGGACCUCGCGCUAUUGGAGCGGCCGAUGGCAGAUUAGCUAGUUGGUGGGGUAAAGGCCUACCAAGGCGACGAUCCGUAGCUGGUCUGAGAGGACGACCAGCCACACUGGGACUGAGACACGGUCCAGACUCCUACGGGAGGCAGCAGUGGGGAAUAUUGGACAAUGGGCGAAAGCCUGAUCCAGCAAUGCCGCGUGUGUGAUGAAGGCCUUCGGGUUGUAAAGCACUUUUGGCGGGAACGAAAAGGACUGUGCCAAUACCACGGUUCGAUGACGGUACCCGCAGAAUAAGCACCGGCUAACUACGUG